rnacentral:rRNA from 1 species
UAGGGAAUCUUCCGCAAUGGACGCAAGUCUGACGGAGCAACGCCGCGUGAGUGAAGAAGGAUUUCGGUUCGUAAAACUCUGUUGUUAGAGAAGAACAGCGCAUAGAGUAACUGUUAUGCGUGUGACGGUAUCUAACCAGAAAGCCACGGCUAACUACGUGCCAGCAGCCGCGGUAAUACGUAGGUGGCAAGCGUUGUCCGGAUUUAUUGGGCGUAAAGCGAGCGCAGGCGGUCAAUUAAGUCUGAUGUGAAAGCCCCCGGCUCAACCGGGGAGGGUCAUUGGAAACUGGUUGACUUGAGUGCAGAAGAGGAGAGUGGAAUUCCAUGUGUAGCGGUGAAAUGCGUAGAUAUAUGGAGGAACACCAGUGGCGAAGGCGACUCUCUGGUCUGUAACUGACGCUGAGGCUCGAACGCGUGGGUAGCAAACAGG